CAGCAGCUCCUCCCCUUUCAGUAUCAUGAGCGGUGCUCUGCCAUCCCAGAGGACGCUGAGUCGUGGGAGUGCAGCGGCUGCAGUGGUGUGGGCACCGCCCCUUCAGUGUCAGCCCCGGCGCAGUGAUCCCUGCACAGCACCCCAGCUCCUGGCACUUCGGCUCCAGCACGACAGGCUGCCAUGCUGCAGGGACACCCCGACGCCCAGCUGCCUGCGCAGCCCACAGGAAGCCCCGCGGCCACUCCACCCUUGCAGCCACCAAGGAACAGCAGUGCAGGAUAUCCCUGCUGAGAGGAGUUACGCCACGGACGAUACCACUGAGCUUCACUAAGUUAAAUAGAAUAAAUCUCCCACUGCAGAAAACACAGUUUGGUUCUUCUGUUGUGCGUGCGGUGCUGUGAUUGCUGGAAGCACCACUGCUUUGUGCCACAGCAGAUAGAGGAUCUGGCUGAUGAUAGCCUAUCCCAAUUGAAAAGGCCCGUAAGGAUCAGCCAGCCCAGCUCCUGGCUCCGCACAGCAGCACCCGGCGUUAGGCUCAGCUCCGGCAGCUCAGGGCUGCACCCACUGCCCCGGGGAGCUGCUCCGUGCCCACCACCCUCCGGUGCACAACGGUUCCUUGAUAUCCAGCCUGAGCCUCCCCUGACACAGCUCCGUGCUGUUCCCUUGGCCCGGUUGCUGUUCAAGGCAUUCCCAUCCUGGCUGGAUGGGGCUUUGAGCAGCCUGAUGUGGUGGGAGGAGUCCCUGCCUAUAGCAGUGUGAUGGGUUUGUGUAUGGAUGGUAGCGUGUGCUUGUGGGUGUCCGUGUGUGAGGUUGGGGCCGUGAGUCCGUGCAGCUGUGUGUGAUAACGUGAGGCUGUGCGCGUCGUCCAGGGCACGUGUGCGCUGUGCGUGCGUCUGUGUGCAGUGUAUGUGCACGUGUGAGUGUUACACAGCGGGGAAGCCCGGCUCUCCCUCGGAGCAGCGUCCCGCUGGGAGCUGCCAGCAGCUCUUCCCGAACACAGCCGAGCUGCGAGCUCUUCUCGCUGCAGACGCGUGCCCCCUAGUGCUGCCCGCCCCGUC
rnacentral:lncRNA from 1 species